UACGGAGGGUGCAAGCGUUAUCCGGAUUCACUGGGUUUAAAGGGUGCGUAGGUGGGUUGGUAAGUCAGUGGUGAAAUCCCCGAGCUUAACUUGGGAACUGCCAUUGAUACUAUCAGUCUUGAAUACCGUGGAGGUCAGCGGAAUAUGUCAUGUAGCGGUGAAAUGCUUAGAUAUGACAUAGAACACCAAUUGCGAAGGCAGCUGGCUACUCGAAUAUUGACACUGAGGCACGAAAGCGUGGGGAUCAAACAGG
rnacentral:rRNA from 1 species